rnacentral:rRNA from 1 species
GACAGAGGGUGCAAACGUUGCUCGGAAUCACUGGGCGUAAAGGGCGCGUAGGCGGCCUUCUAAGUCGAACGUGAAAUCCCCGGGCUCAACCCGGGAACUGCGUCCGAGACUGAAAGGCUCGAAUCCGGGAGAGGGAUGUGGAAUUCCAGGUGGUAGCGGUGAAAUGCGUAGAGAUCCGGAGGAACACCAGAGGCGAAGGCGGCCUACUGGGCUGCACCUGACGC